GGUGGAUUUAGCCUGUUGACUCCAAGAUCCACGUGUUUUUCUUUUUUUUUCUGGUUUCAGCUGACACUGAAGAUGUGUGCAUUGUAGAAAGAUUGUUCUCCAGCAGCUUAGUGGCCAUCGUUAGCCUCAAAGCUCCCAGGAAGCUGAAGGUUUGCCACUUUAAGAAGGGGACUGAGAUCUGUAAUUAUAGCUACUCCAACACGAUUCUGGCCGUGAAACUGAACAGGCAGAGGCUCAUUGUGUGCCUGGAGGAGUCUCUCUACAUACACAACAU
rnacentral:lncRNA from 1 species